AAGCUCGUAGUUGAAUUUCGGGAUCAAUAUUUCGGUCAUGCCGUUGGUAUGCACUGUUAUCAUUGAUUUCUCACCUUCUAAAGAACCGUAAUGCCAUUAAUUUGGUGUUACGGGGAAUUAGGACUGUUACCUUGAAAAAAUUAGAGUGUUUAAAGCAGGCUCACGCUUGAAUACAUUAGCAUGGAAUAAUGAAAUAGGACAUCCGAUUCUAUUUUGUUGGUUUCUAGGAUCGAUGUAAUGAUUAAUAGGGAUAGUUGGGGGCAUUAGUAUUCAAUUGUCAGAGGUGAAAUUCUUGGAUUUAUUGAAGACUAACUACUGCGAAAGCAUUUGCCAAGGAUGUUUUCAUUAAUCAAGAACGAAAGUUAGGGGAUCGAAGACGAUCAGAUACCGUCGUAGUCUUAACCAUAAACUAUGCCGACUAGGGAUCGGAUGAUGUUAAUUUUUUAAUGACUCAUUCGGCACC
rnacentral:rRNA from 1 species